rnacentral:lncRNA from 11 species
GAGGAAUCCCAUUGCCUGCCCUUCCCUCCAUCUCUGCAGACCACAGGAAUUCCUUACACUACCUGGAUAGGGAACUAAUAUCGGUGAAAUGCAAUGGCUCUUUAAUCACGGCACACCAGCACACCAGUCAAUUCCAGCCACCUCUGGCCUGCUUUCUAAGAAUAUAUGGCUGGUCCAGGUAAACCUCACUCAUGUUGUUACUAAGGUUGGUCUGGACUGACUUCAUGCCAUAGGAAAAUAUUUGCCUAUGAGUAAAUGGGCAAUGCUUACCCAUUUGGCUUUAAGAAAUAUGCUCCAGACCAAGUCGUUUUUCCUGGAGACAACCUUCUAACUAAGGUGCUCCUGCCGAUGUCCACAUGGGACCUACAAGAAAGAGGGGAGAUAACCUCCUUUUUUUUUUACUGGUCAAACGGGUACCACAUUCUGACAUCCACAGAGGUGCACAUGACGGCCAGGAACUUGGAUGGAACUCUUAUGGCCAGCUAGGAGCCGUGAUGCCACAGAGGAGGUGACAACUCAGCGGAGUUGAUGUAGUUCCAUGUCUUCUGGACAACCACCUUAAAAUAAGCACAUUAAUAGUGAAUUCCUGGCUGCUUUGAAGGAAGAUUUAUACCAGGCUAACCUGCACAGUCCUAACAUGCCCUUUGUCUACUUCCUUUGCAUAUUAACAAUGAACAUGUAAAGCCCUGGGUCUGGAUUGAUGACCCUGUCAGUUUUUGUUUCUUCCACAAUUAGAUAUGUUUAAUUUCAAUUUCUUUAUUUCCUGCAUAUGAAGAAAUUUGGAAAUUCUUAUCCAAAAUAGACUGAAACAUGGUUCUUACCCAUUCCUGCUUAAAUAUUGUGUUUCAGAUCUAUAUAGGCGGUUGUUUACGCAGCUGCAAAAUAUAUGGGCAGAAAUGACGUAUGUGAUAUAAUAACUGUUAGUCUGCCAUCCACAUGAAGCUUGCUUUUUUGAAUCAUUACAGAAUCUGAUAUCUGGAUUUUGAUCCUCCCAAUAUGCUCCAUGUAUGAUGUAAUCCUCCAUCAAUGUAUUGCCUGUUGUGUCUUGUGACUUAAUUAAAGGGAGUGUCAGACAGUUCAGAAGAGACAUUCGUGAGAUGUCAAAUGCAACAAAGAGAGAAAAUAAUUUUGGGUUAUACAAAAAAUAAGAAUCUAUGUAAAUUAUACAAGCCUGCUCUUUCUCUCAACUACAGCUUUGAUUGUUUGAAAUGAUCUUUGUCUGGUACUUUAAACUGAAAUGUGAUUCUCUUGUUCUUUGCUUGGCAUCAUUCCCUAAAAUAUUCCGUUAAAUGUUUUCUAUUAUAUGCCAGUCCCAAUAGGAUAGUGCUACGAGAUUUUUAAAGGUACCUUGUAUUAUCUUGUGUCAUUUGAAUGCUGGCAAUGCUGCGAUAAAUAAAGAUAAAUUAAGC